AUUGAACGCUGGCGGCAGGCCUAAUACAUGCAAGUCGAACGAGUGGCGGACGGGUGAGUAAUGUCUGGGAAACUGCCUGACGGAGGGGGAUAAGUACUGGAAACGGUAGCUAAUAACGCAUACCAUCGGAUGUGCCAAGAGGGGAGUAGCUAGUAGGUGGGGUAACGGCUCACCUAGGCGACGAUCCCUAGCUGGUCUGAGAGGAUGACCAGCCACACUGGAACUGAGACACGGUCCAGACUCCUACGGGAGGCAGCAGUGGGGAAUAUUGCACAAUGGGCGCAAGCCUGAUGCAGCCAUGCCGCGUGUAUGAAGAAGGCCUUCGGGUUGUAAAGUACUUUCAGCGGGGAGGCGUUACUCGCAGAAGAAGCACCGGCUAACUCCGUGCCAGCAGCCGCGGUAAUUC
rnacentral:rRNA from 1 species